UUGCAUCUAUUUAGAUCACGCAAGUAGGGAGCUCAUCCACCACAAACACAUGCUCACAAACUUAGAUGUACAUGAACUAUGUUCAUGUGGGGGGUGUUCCUCACACCACAUGCACCACAAGACAUAUAUGCACUCAAAACCUAUCACACUACAACAUGUAAGCAUGACACUAGUGCCUCUACACACUCACACACACAUGCACUUCUCACAUGAACACACACAUGCACACAUCAUAUGGCACUUCUUAUAGCAGCAAAGGGUAAAAAUAAAUGCCAAGACAUCUAUGGAUUGUGGCACAAGCAUGGCAACAAGCAAAGAAG
rnacentral:lncRNA from 1 species